AUGGACGAGAAUCAGAUCCCCCUUUUAUCCUGUCCUGCUUUUCUAGACCUGAAGAUCACCAAGGCAUCUAUCUCUCUGUGUGUAAUUAGGCAGUGCAAGUUUGCUCACAUAAAUAAUGUUUGGUUGUUAGGGUACCUGCUAACGCGGUGUUCAUCGCGGCGAAUUAGGCCAUUUCUUAAUCUUAUGAGCAUCAAAUUAUCAUCAUCCCAAAGCUGCUCUGCUUUAGCUUCCUCUCCCGCCUCAUUGAAUGUUGGUUUGCAGUUUCUGUUUGCUUUUCAUGUCUGA
rnacentral:rRNA from 1 species